rnacentral:tRNA from 1 species
AGCCCUUUUAACUCAGUGGUAGAGUGUCACCAUGGUAAGGUGAAGGUCAUCGGUUCAAAUCCGUUAAAGGGCUU